ACUCCUACGGGAGGCAGCAGUGGGGAAUAUUGCACAAUGGGGGAAACCCUGAUGCAGCCAUGCCGCGUGUGUGAAGAAGGCCUUCGGGUUGUAAAGCACUUUCAGCGAGGAGGAAAGGGUGUAAGUUAAUACCUUACAUCUGUGACGUUACUCGCAGAAGAAGCACCGGCUAACUCCGUGCCAGCGACGCCGUCAGUAAUACGGAGGGUGCGAGCGUUAAUCGGAAUUACUGGGCGUAAAGCGUGCGCAGGCGGUUUGUUAAGCGAGAUGUGAAAGCCCCGGGCUCAACCUGGGAACCGCAUUUCGAACUGGCAAACUAGAGUCUUGUAGAGGGGGUAGAAUUCCAGGUGUAGCGGUGAAAUGCGUAGAGAUCUGGAGGAAUACCGGUGGCGAAGGCGGCCCCCUGGACAAAGACUGACGCUCAGGCACGAAAGCGUGGGGAGCAAACAGGAUUAGAUACCCUGGUAGGU
rnacentral:rRNA from 1 species